CUGUUUAACUACUAUGAACCCAUCAUCGCUAUUGAAUAAUUUCAUAAAUUAUGAAAGUUACCAUGCUAGAACUAGUAACAAGAAAACGCAUUUCUCCAAAUUGUAAGCUUACACCAAAAUGGACUUCCCACUGGUACUCAACGAUUUUGACCCUAAUAUUUUAACUACUCAAGAAAACUAAAUAAUUUACAUCGUUAACCUUAACCCAAAAACACUUCUGGAAAGAUUAAAAGAGAGAGAAGGAACUCGGCAAUAUUUAGUCCCGCCUGUUUACCAAAAACAUCGCCUCUUGCACACUAUAAGAGGUCCCGCCUGCCCAGUGAUUAUUUAACGGCCGCGUGAUUUUAAGCGCGCAAAGGUAGCGAAAUCAUUUGUUCUUUAAAUGAGGACCAGUAUCAACGGCACCACGAGGACUUCACUGUCUCCUCUCCCUAAUCAGUGAAACUAAUCUCCCUGUGAAAAAGCAAGGAUAAUACUAUAAGACGAGAAGACCCCAUGGAGCUUUAAACUUUUUAGCAACUUUUAGUAAAUCUACCACCCUUCAAUACCCAAGCUAUGCUCAAUCGUUUUAGGUUGGGGCGACCGCGGAGUAAAACUUAACCUCCAUGACAAAAGGACAUUUCCUAAUCUAAGAAAGACAUUUCUAAGAAUCACUAACCUGAUGUUUCAUGACCCGACUAUCGAUCAACGAACUAAGUUACCCUGGGGAUAACAGCGCAAUCCAUUUUGAAAGCCCUAUCGACAAAUGGGUUACGAACCUCGAUGUUGGAUC
rnacentral:rRNA from 1 species